rnacentral:lncRNA from 1 species
GGAGAUGGGGCAGGAAUUCCUGCAUGGGAGAGUGGGCAGGCACCAUCCUCUGCAGAAAUGCUGAAGAAGUCACUGAAAAGCUCCUGAAAUCCCCAUUUCUGGCAUGGUUUGGGGAGGAUCUGCCAUCCUUGUCCCUCACUGUCUCCUUGCAGAAUGUGCUGGCAGCCAGUGGCAACUUCCUGGAGGAUCUCAAGUCUGGAGUUAAUGUCUCUUUACCAUCUGCUACUUUCUCUGGUCAGCUGCACCACGAGGCUUCUCUCAUCCUGGCAGUGCAGGCAGUGCAGCAGAUGCUUUGCUGUGAGCUUCCCCACUUGACUUCCUUCCUGGAGAUAGUCCUGGCUUUUGGGAAAAACUUCUGGGCUGUGAGGCUGCUGCUGGACCAGCUGUGCUGUGACGAGCACGUCCUGUGUGGCACUGCCAGCCUGCUGCUGAGGGACCUGAGCCGUGAGGAGGGGACCAUGCUGAGAGUGUGAGGGAGCCCUGUGGGCUGCACAUCUGGGGAUGCACAGCUGGGCUGGAAUUCCGUCCCUGUGGUUCUGGGGGCAGUGAUGUGCUGGGUGUCUGGUUUUGGGCUGUUUGAAGGGCCUGGAAAGGCCCGGGGUGGCCUUGGGGCAGCCGCGUAUCGAAGGACGAGAAGAGGCUUCAGUUCUUCUUUCGGGCUCGAUGUUUAUUA